CCUCGUCAGACGAACGGCGGCGGCGUGCCUAAUACAUGCAAGUCGAACGCGUCUUGGUUAUUGAUGUUAGAGAUGCUUGCAUUUAACUGAUUUAACAUUGAGACGAGUGGCGAACUGGUGAGUAACACGUGGGUAACCUGCCCUUGAAGUAGGGGAUAACACUUGGAAACAGGUGCUAAUACCGUAUAACAACCAAAACCACCUGGUUUUGGUUUAAAAGAUGGCUUCGGCUAUCACUUUAGGAUGGACCCGCGGCGUAUUAGCUUGUUGGUAAGGUAACGGCCUACCAAGGCAAUGAUACGUAGCCGACCUGAGAGGGUAAUCGGCCACAUUGGGACUGAGACACGGCCCAAACUCCUACGGGAGGCAGCAGUAGGGAAUCUUCCACAAUGGACGAAAGUCUGAUGGAGCAACGCCGCGUGAGUGAUGAAGGGUUUCGGCUCGUAAAACUCUGUUGUUGGAGAAGAACAGGUGUGAGAGUAACUGUUCACAUCUUGACGGUAUCCAACCAGAAAGCCACGGCUAACUACGUGCCAGCAGCCGCGGUAAUACGUAGGUGGCAAGCGUUGUCCGGAUUUAUUGGGCGUAAAGCGAGCGCAGGCGGUUUCUUAGGUCUGAUGUGAAAGCCUUCGGCUUAACCGGAGAAGUGCAUCGGAAACCAGGAGACUUGAGUGCAGAAGAGGACAGUGGAACUCCAUGUGUAGCGGUGAAAUGCGUAGAUAUAUGGAAGAACACCAGUGGCGAAGGCGGCUGUCUGGUCUGUAACUGACGCUGAGGCUCGAAAGCAUGGGUAGCGAACAGGAUUAGAUACCCUGGUAGUCCAUGCCGUAAACGAUGAGUGCUAAGUGUUGGAGGGUUUCCGCCCUUCAGUGCUGCAGCUAACGCAUUAAGCACUCCGCCUGGGGAGUACGACCGCAAGGUUGAAACUCAAAGGAAUUGACGGGGGCCCGCACAAGCGGUGGAGCAUGUGGUUUAAUUCGAUGCUACGCGAAGAACCUUACCAGGUCUUGACAUCUUCUGCCAACCUAAGAGAUUAGGCGUUCCCUUCGGGGACAGAAUGACAGGUGGUGCAUGGUUGUCGUCAGCUCGUGUCGUGAGAUGUUGGGUUAAGUCCCGCAACGAGCGCAACCCUUAUUGUUAGUUGCCAGCAUUCAGUUGGGCACUCUAGCAAGACUGCCGUGACAACCGGAGGAAAGGUGGGGAUGACGUCAAUCAUCAGGCCCCUUAUGACUGGGCUACCACGUGCUACAUGGACGGUAAACGAGUCCGGAAC
rnacentral:rRNA from 1 species